AGCGAACGCUGGCGGCAGGCCUAACACAUGCAAGUCGAACGAACCUUUCGGGGUUAGUGGCGGACGGGUGAGUAACACGUGGGAACGUGCCUUUAGGUUCGGAAUAACUCAGGGAAACUUGUGCUAAUACCGAAUGUGCCCUUCGGGGGAAAGAUGUAUCGCCUUUAGAGCGGCCCGCGUCUGAUUAGCUAGUUGGUUGAGGUAAUGGCUCACCAAGGCGACGAUCAGUAGCUGGUCUGAGAGGAUGAUCAGCCACAUUGGGACUGAGACGCGGCCCAAACUCCUACGGGAGGCAGCAGUGGGGAAUCUUGCGAAAUGGGCGAAAGCCUGACGCAGCCAUGCCGGGUGAAUGAUGAAGGUCUUAGGAUUGUAAAAUUCUUUCACCGGGGACGAUAAUGACGGUACCCGGAGAAGAAGCCCCGGCUAACUUCGUG
rnacentral:rRNA from 1 species